rnacentral:rRNA from 1 species
UACAGAGGGGGCAAGCGUUGUUCGGAAUUACUGGGCGUAAAGGCGCGUAGGCGGCCUGCUAAGUCGAACGUGAAAUCCCUGGGCUCAACCCAGGAACUGCGUCCGAUACUGGUUGGCUUGAAUCCGGGAGAGGGAUGCGGAAUUCCAGGUGUACGGUGAAAUGCGUAGAUAUCUGGAGGAACACCGGUGGCGAAGGCGGCAUCCUGGACCGGCAUUGACGCUGAGGCGCGAAAGCCAGGGAGCAAACGGG